AAUCGAACCCGGAGAUAGCUGGUUCUCCUCGAAAUAGCUUUAGGGCUAGCCUCGCAUUAGUUUACCGGAGGUAGAGCACUGAAUGGUCUAGGGGGCCUCACCGCCUACCGAAACCUAUCAAACUGCGAAUGCCGGAUAAAUGAUGUGCGGGAGUCAGGCCGCGAGAGAUAAGUUCCGCGGUCAAAAGGGGAACACCCCAGAUCGUCUGCUAAGGUCCCCAAGUACGCGUUAAGUGGGAAAGGAUGUUGGAUUGCACAGACAACCAGGAUGUUGGCUUAGAAGCAGCCACACAUUCAAAGAGUGCGUAAUAGCUCACUGGUCGAGUGAUCCAGCGCCGAAAAUGUAACGGGGCUAAAACGCGACACCGAAGCAGCGGGAUGCGUAAGCAUCGGUAGAGGAGCAUUGUGUGAGGGUCGAAGCCAGAGCGGGAGCACUGGUGGACUUCACAGAAGAGAGAAUGCCGGUAUGAGUAGCGAGACCCAUGCGAGAAACAUGGGCGUCGAAGGCCCAAGGUUUCCUGGGGAAGGUUCAUCCACCCAGGGUAAGUCGGGACCUAAGCCGAGGACUGAGGUCGUAGGCGAUGGACAGCAGGUAGAGAUUCCUGCACCACUUAUACUUGUUUGACGAAGCAGUGACACAGAAGGAUAGGACGAGCGCGGUGAUGGUCAACCGCGUAGGCGGCACGAGGCCGGGAAGCAGUGAAGUACACUUCCCGCAAAGGCUGAGUGUUGACAGGACCGAAAAGAAGUAGGGAAGCGUCCGAGUUCACGCUGGCGAGAAAAGCUGCUAAGGAGAGUGUGAGUGCCCGUACCGGAAACCGACGCAGGUGGGCGAGGAGAGAAUCCUGAGACGGACGGGAGAACUCUUGUUAAGGAACUCGGCAAAAUGACCCCGUAACUUCGGGAGAAGGGGUGCCUCGAAAGAGGCCGCAGAGAAUAGUCACAAGCGACUGUUUAGCAAAAACACAGGUAUCUGCGAAAGCGAGAGCUGACGUAUAGGUGCUGACGCCUGCCCGGUGCUGGAAGGUUAAGGGGAAGUGUUAGGGGAAACCCGAAGCAGAGAACCGAAGCCCCAGUAAACGGCGGCCGUAACUAUAACGGUCCUAAGGUAGCGAAAUUCCUUGUCGGGUAAGUUCCGACCCGCACGAAUGGCGUAACGACUUGUGAGCUGUCUCAACAGGAGGCCCGGUGAAAUUGAAGUAUGUGUGAAGAUGCACAUUACCCGCGACUGGACGGAAAGACCCCGUAGAGCUUUACUGUAACCUGACAUUGGAUCUUGAUAACGGAUGCACAGGAUAGGUGGGACGCUGGGAGACGAGGACUUUGGUUUUCGUGGAGCGGCCGUUGGGAUACCACUCUUCUGUUAUUGAGAUUCUAACCUCAAGCCGUGAGCCGGAUGAGAGACAGUGUCAGGCGGACAGUUUGACUGGGGCGGUCGCCUCCGAAAGCGUAACGGAGGCGCCCAAAGGUACCCUCAGAAUGGAUGGAAACCAUUCGAAGAGAGCAAAGUCAGAAGGGUGCUUGACUGCGAGACCAACAAGUCGAGCAGGUACGAAAGUAGGGCUUAGUGAUCCGGCGGUAAGAGAGUGGAAUUGCCGUCGCUCAACGGAUAAAAGCUACCUCGGGGAUAACAGGCUGAUCUCCCCCAAGAGUUCACAUCGACGGGGAGGUUUGGCAC
rnacentral:rRNA from 1 species